GUGGGGAAGAUAGGGAAGAAGAAGCUCCCUUUGGAAGAUUCUAUUAAAGGAGACGCUAGCUUUUGGACUUGCCUUCAAGACAUCCAAGAGGGGGUGGAGGACUUGACCCUUUGAGAUGUGUGGAGGCAUGGUCUCGUGAAGUCCUGGUCAAGAUU